rnacentral:rRNA from 1 species
GACGAACGCUGGCGGCGUGCUUAACACAUGCAAGUCGAACGGAAAGGCCCUGCUUUUGUGGGGUGCUCGAGUGGCGAACGGGUGAGUAACACGUGAGUAACCUGCCCUUGACUUUGGGAUAACUUCAGGAAACUGGGGCUAAUACCGGAUAGGAGCUCCUGCUGCAUGGUGGGGGUUGGAAAGUUUCGGCGGUUGGGGUUGGACUCGCGGCUUAUCAGCUUGUUGGUGGGGUAGUGGCUUACCAAGGCUUUGACGGGUAGCCGGCCUGAGAGGGUGACCGGCCACAUUGGGCCAGGGGUACGGGCCGGAGUCCAACGGGGGGCAGCAGUGGAGAAUAUUGCACAAUGGGCGGAAGCCGGAUGCAGCAACGCCGCGUGCGGGAUGACGGCCUUCGGGUAGUAAACCGCUUGCGCCUGUGACGAAGCGGGAGGGAGGGUAAUGGGUAAAGAAGCACCGGCUAACUACGU